CAUACCUUUUGUGUCGAAUUUCAAGCGCAAAAGAAUACAAGCCUGCACAAGAAUUUCAAAUUGAAAAUCUGUUUGAAAUAUGGAGCUUUGAUGGCAAAAUGGUGUACGAGAACAUAAUCGAAGCCACUGAAGAUUUUGACGACAAGCAUCUCCUUGGGGUUGGAGGACAUGGAAGUGUUUACAAAGCAGAGUUGCCCACAGGUCAAGUUGUAGCUGUGAAGAAACUUCAUUCAUUACAAAAUGAAGAAAUGCCUAAUCUGAAAGCUUUCACAAAUGAGAUCCAUGCUUUGACAGAAAUUCGACAUCGCAACAUUGUGAAGUUAUACGGGUUUUGUUCACAUCGACUACACUCAUUUUUGGUUUAUGAAUUCUUGGAGAAGGGUAGCAUGGACAUCAUUUUGAAGGACAAUGAACAAGCUCCUGAAUUUGAUUGGAAUAGGAGGGUGGAUGUUAUUAAAGAUAUAGCUAAUGCUUUAUGCUAUAUGCAUCAUGAUUGUUCACCUUCAAUUGUUCAUCGCGAUAUAUCCAGCAAGAAUGUCAUUUUGGAUUUGGAAUAUGUAGCUCAUGUCUCAGACUUUGGAACAUCUAAGUUUCUCAAUCCCAAUUCAUCCAAUAUGACUUCUUUUGCAGGCACUUUUGGAUAUACUGCUCCAGGUGAAUUCUUUUUUUCAUUAAUUAAGGUUAAAAUAUUUUGUAGUUUAUCUUUAGUACUUUACAUGUAAAAUCUAAUUAUUUCACAAAUCUACAUUUAAUGUUUUGUUUUUCAAAUCCUAUUUUUCACAUAAAUAUUUGUAAAUUUCUACAGAACUUGCAUACACAAUGGAAGUAAAUGAGAAAUGUGAUGUGUUUAGUUUUGGGAUAUUAACCUUGGAAAUACUUUUUGGAAAGCACCCUGGAGAUAUUGUAACUUAUUUGUGGCAACAACCUUCACAAAGUGUUAUGGACAUGAGACCUGAUACUAUGCAAUUGAUAGAUAAGUUGGACCAGCGUGUCCCUCAUCCCACAAAUACCAUUGUUCAAGAAGUGGCAUCGAUGAUAAGGAUUGCAGUUGCUUGCUUAACUGAAAGCCCGCGUUCUCGCCCUACCAUGGAGCAGGUCUGCAGACAGUUUGUAAUGUCAUAAUCAUCUUCAGAUACAUAUUGUCUCAUAUAUAUGGUGGAUUCAAUAUAAACGAUUGAACUUUUGUAUGAUCGUCAUUAUCUUUUUGAUACUAUAAUUCAUAUAAUAUUUAGACAAAAUUAUUGAGUUUUACUUAAUCAGGCCUUUUAUUCCAUAAAUAUCAAUAAUUUUAAAGCAAAAUUAAAAUGUUCAAAAUCACUACACACACUGUAAAGAAUGACAUCCUCCCCGCAAGGUCUAGUUUUUGUUUAUACGCAAAUCCAUAAAUUAAUUUUGACCACAUGGUAGACUCAUAUCAAUGAUGUGCACACAAUAUUAUAUAGACAUCAAAAUAUUUAUAAGGAAUAAUUGCUUUAGUUUUCCUAAUUUAGGAGUCAUAAAAUGUUGAGAGACUUGUACAUUUACUCCAAAUGGUGGAGAAAUUAGUUCAAUGUUGGCGAUAAAUAUUGAAUUAUUAACUCUAUGAGUUUAGUGUAGUGUUAAAAAGAUAAACUUUUGAACUCCAAAGGCUUGGUCUAGUGGUAAAAAGACAGGUCUUGAAUCCGAAAGAACCCAGGUUCGAGCCCUACUAGUGCCUUUGGAGGGAGGUUGAAUUCAAAUGUUUUAAGUUUAUGUUCAGAUAGUAUCCUUAAUGAGAUAAAUCUAAAUCUCUUUAUAAAUGAUGACUGAGUCAAGCUAAAAUUUAGUUAGUAUCUUUGGAAGGAGGUAAAUGUAAAUUCUUUUGAAAAUGACCAUUGAACCCUAUAAGAGUGUGUUUGGAUGGAGGAAUGUUUUGAGGGAAUGUAAUGUUUUGAGGGAAUUCAACUACUUUAAGGUGAAUUCUAUUGUUUGAAUUCACCUCAAAGUAGUUGAAUUCCCUCAAAACAUUACAUUCCCUCAAAACAUUCCCCCAUCCAAACACACUCUAAGGUAUUCUCUACUUUGGCCAGGGGCAUUAUCCCUCCAUCUAAAAAUAUUUUCAUAAACAAAAUUGAAAAGUAAUAACAAUGAAUGAUGUUAGAUUAAUGAAAGUUAAGUAUAUAUUUUUCUAAUUGAAAGUUAAACUCAUUACCUCCCUGUUACUCCAAAUCGGUGGACGACUGACUUUAAUUAUUACAAUAGCUUAUUUACGUAUUAUGUUUGUGUGUAUAAAUAAAUAUCAGCUACAUCUCCCAAUAUGAUGCAUGCAAUAUCAUAAUAAGUCUCUUGUUCAAUUAUAAUACAUCAGUGAUUGCCAAUACUUUCAUUUUAUUGUAUUCAAAUGCUUCAGAGGAUGAAGUUCUUACCAAUGUCGUGUCUUCUUUUGUUCUUCUAUGUGUAUGUAAUUGCCACAUCACCUCAUGCUGCAACAAAAAUCAAAGGCAGUGAGGCAGAUGCUCUGUUGAAGUGGAAAGCAAGCCUUGACAACCACAACAGGGCAUUGCUCUCUUCAUGGAUUGGUAAUAAUCCUUGUAGUAGUUGGGAAGGAAUCACAUGUGAUGAUGAUUCAAAAUCCAUCAACAAGGUAAAUCUCACCAAUAUUGGACUAAAAGGUACGCUUCAAACUCUCAAUUUCUCAUCACUUCCGAAAUUGAAAAGUUUAGUUUUAAGCAGCAACUCCUUCUACGGUGUAGUUCCACACCAUAUUGGUGUAAUGUCCAAUCUAGAAACUCUUGAUUUGUCACUAAAUGAACUCUCUGGUACCAUUCCCAAUACCAUUGGUAAUUUGUACAAACUAUCCUAUCUUGAUCUCAGCUUUAAUUAUCUCACCGGGUCUAUCUCAAUUUCUAUAGGAAAGUUGGCCAAAAUAAAAAAUCUCAUGUUACAUUCGAAUCAACUUUUUGGCCAGAUUCCUCGUGAAAUUGGGAAUUUGGUCAACCUCCAGAGACUAUAUCUUGGAAAUAACAGUCUUUUUGGCUUCAUUCCUCGAGAAAUUGGAUAUCUAAAACAACUCGGCGAACUUGACUUGUCUGCGAACCAUCUCUCAGGCCCAAUCCCUUCUACAAUUGGAAAUUUGAGCAAUUUAUAUUAUCUUUACCUUUAUUCAAACCAUCUCAUUGGUAGCAUUCCAAAUGAAUUAGGAAAGCUCUAUUCCCUUUCCACAAUCCAAUUGUUAAAAAACAAUCUUUCAGGAUCAAUCCCUCCAUCCAUGGGUAACUUGGUCAAUUUAGAAUCUAUUCUCCUUCAUGAAAAUAAACUCUCUGGACCAAUUCCUUCCACUAUUGGAAAUUUAACCAAAGUGAGUGAAUUAUUAAUUUACUCAAAUGCUCUCACUGGAAAAAUUCCACCUUCCAUAGGUAAUUUGAUUAAUUUGGAUUCUAUUCACCUUUCACUAAAUAAUCUCUCUGGACCAAUUCCUUCCACUAUCGAAAAUUUGACAAAACUCAGUGCAUUAACUCUUUUAUCAAAUUCUCUCACUGAGAAUAUUCCAGCAGAAAUGAAUAGGCUUACGGAUUUGGAAGUACUCGAAUUAUAUGAUAAUAAAUUUAUUGGUCAUUUACCUCACAAUAUUUGUGUCGGUGGGAAGUUAAAAACAUUCACUGCUGCACUUAACCAGUUCAGAGGCCUAGUUCCAGAGAGUUUGAAGAAUUGCUCAAGCCUUGAGAGAUUGAGGCUUAACCAAAACCAACUGACUGGAAAUAUAACAGAGAGUUUUGGUGUGUAUCCAAACUUGGACUACAUGGACUUGAGUGAUAAUAAUUUUUAUGGUCAUCUUUCUCCAAAUUGGGGAAAGUGCAAGAAUCUCACAAGCCUAAAAAUCUCCGGUAAUAAUUUAACUGGAAGAAUACCACCAGAACUAGGCAGAGCAACAAAUUUACAGGAGCUUAACUUGUCUUCAAACGAUCUAAUGGGAAAAAUUCCAAAGGAGCUAAAAUAUUUAUCUUUGUUGUUCAAACUCUCGUUAAGUAACAAUCAUCUUUCUGGAGAAGUUCCUGUACAAAUUGCAUCAUUGCAUCAACUAACUGCAUUGGAGCUUGCAACAAAUAACUUAAGUGGCUUCAUCCUGGAAAAACUUGGUAUGUUGUCUAGGUUAUUGCAGUUGAAUUUGAGCCAUAAUAAGCUUGAGGGGAACAUUCCUGUUGAGUUUGGCCAAUUGAAUGUUAUUGAAAACCUUGAUCUUAGUGGGAAUUCUAUGAAUGGAACCAUACCAGCAAUGCUUGGCCAGUUAAAUCACUUAGAAACAUUGAAUCUCUCACAUAACAAUCUCUCUGGUACCAUUCCCUUAAGCUUUGUUGAUAUGUUAAGCUUGACAACUGUUGAUAUAUCUUACAACCAGUUGGAGGGUCCGAUUCCAAACAUUACAGCUUUCAAAAGAGCUCCAAUUGAAGCAUUGACAAAUAACAAAGGCUUAUGUGGUAAUGUCUCUGGCCUAGAGCCUUGCUCAACAUCGGGUGGCACCUUUCAUAGUCAUAAUACUAACAAAAUUUUGGUGCUAGUUCUAUCCCUCACUCUCGGCCCUCUAUUGUUAGCAUUGAUUGUUUAUGGGAUCUCAUACCUCUUUGUCGAACUUCAAGCACAAAAGAACACAAGCCAGCACAAGAAUUUCAAAUUGAAAAUCUAUUUGAAAUAUGGAGCUUUGAUGGCAAAAUGGUGUAUGAGAACAUUAUCGAAGCCACUGAAGAUUUUGACAACAAGCAUCUCAUUGGGGUUGGAGGACAUGGAAAUGUUUACAAAGCAGAGUUGCCCACAGGUCAAGUUGUAG
rnacentral:lncRNA from 1 species